rnacentral:misc_RNA from 1 species
ACAAAUCCAAUAGUUGUGUUGUAAGGGUAACUUUACUCGCAAAUAUUAAACCGCCGGUUUAACGACUGGCUGGUAAAUAUAAAUGCAUGUUGUGUUGACAGUGUGUGUGACUAAAAUUUAUUGA